rnacentral:tRNA from 1 species
GCCGGUGAAGCACUGAAGGUAGUGCGCCUGCUUCGUACGCAGGAGGGAGCGCGUUCGAUCCGCGUCACCGGCUCCA